UUAUUUUACCUCCUAUGUGCUGCGAAAAUUCAUUUUUCGAGGGCGCCCGCAAAAGAAAAAUUCACUUUCGCCGCAGUUAAGAGGUAAGAUAAACUACAUAAUUGUGCGGAAAUCGUUUGGUUUUAUAUUCACCUUCGGCUC